GGGCCCGUAGCUUAGCCAGGUAGAGCGCCCGGCUCAUAACCGGGUGGUCCCGGGUUCAAAUCCCGGCGGGCCCACCA
rnacentral:tRNA from 1 species